CAUUAAGUUAUGUGUGUUUUAGUGGAACGCUCUGGGAAGUGCGAACGUAGAGGGUGAUAUUCCCGUACACGAAAGGGCACACAUAAUGAUGACGAGUAGGGCGAGGCACGUGAAACCUUGUCUGAAUAUGGGGGGACCAUCCUCCAAGGCUAAAUACUCCUGACUGACCGAUAGUGAACCAGUACCGUGAGGGAAAGGCGAAAAGAACCCCUGUGAGGGGAGUGAAAUAGAUCCUGAAACCGCAUGCAUACAAGCAGUGGGAGCACCUUCGUGGUGUGACUGCGUACCUUUUGUAUAAUGGGUCAGCGACUUAUAUUCAGUAGCGAGGUUAACCGUAUAGGGGAGCCGUAGAGAAAUCGAGUCUUAAUAGGGCGUUUAGUUGCUGGGUAUAGACCCGAAACCAGGCGAUCUAUCCAUGAGCAGGUUGAAGGUUGGGUAACACUAACUGGAGGACCGAACCCACUGUCGUUGAAAAGCCAGGGGAUGACUUGUGGAUAGGGGUGAAAGGCUAAUCAAGCCUGGUGAUAGCUGGUUCUCCCCGAAAGCUAUUUAGGUAGCGCCUCGGACGAAUACCAUAGGGGGUAGAGCACUGUUUCGGCUAGGGGGUCAUCCCGACUUACCAAACCGAUGCAAACUCCGAAUACCUAUGAGUACUAUCCGGGAGACAGACUGCGGGUGCUAACGUCCGUAGUCAAGAGGAAAACAAUCCAGACCGCCAGCUAAGGCCCCAAAAUCAUAGUUAAGUGGGAAACGAUGUGGGAAGGCAUAGACAGCUAGGAGGUUGGCUUAGAAGCAGCCACCCUUUAAAGAAAGCGUAAUAGCUCACUAGUCGAGUCGGCCUGCGCGGAAGAUGUAACGGGGCUAAAACUAUGUGCCGAAGCUGCGGAUGUAUACUUUGUAUACGUGGUAGGGGAGCGUUCUGUAAGCCGAUGAAGGUGUGUUGAGAAGCAUGCUGGAGGUAUCAGAAGUGCGAAUGCUGACGUGAGUAACGACAAAACGGGUGAAAAACCCGUUCGCCGAAAGACCAAGGGUUCCAGUCCAACGUUAAUCGGGGCUGGGUGAGUCGACCCCUAAGGCGAGGCCGAAAGGCGUAGUCGAUGGGAAAAUGGUUAAUAUUCCAUUACUUCUGUGUAAUGCGAUGAGAGGACGGAGAAGGCUAAAUCAGCCUGGCGUUGGUUGUCCAGGUGAAAGGAUGUAGGCAUGUAUCUUAGGCAAAUCCGGGGUACUCUAUGCUGAGAUCUGAUAGCAAGCUGUACUUGUACAGCGAAGUGGUUGAUGCCAUGCUUCCAGGAAAAGUCUCUAAGCUUCAGUUACACAGGAAUCGUACCCGAAACCGACACAGGUGGUCAGGUCGAGUAGACCAAGGCGCUUGAGAGAACUCUGCUGAAGGAACUAGGCAAAAUGGUACCGUAACUUCGGGAGAAGGUACGCUGUUGUUGGUGAUGGAACUCGCUUCCUGAGCUGACGACAGCCGCAGAAACCAGGCCGCUGCAACUGUUUAUUAAAAACAUAGCACUCUGCAAACACGAAAGUGGACGUAUAGGGUGUGAUGCCUGCCCGGUGCUGGAAGGUUAAUUGAUGGGGUUAGCGUAAGCGAAGCUCUUGAUCGAAGCCCCAGUAAACGGCGGCCGUAACUAUAACGGUCCUAAGGUAGCGAAAUUCCUUGUCGGGUAAGUUCCGACCUGCACGAAUGGCAUAAUGAUGGCGGCGCUGUCUCCAGCAGAGGCUCAGUGAAAUCGAAAUCGCUGUGAAGAUGCAGUGUACCCGCGGCUAGACGGAAAGACCCCGUGAACCUUUACUGCAGCUUGACACUGAACUUUGACCUUACUUGUGUAGGAUAGGUGGGAGGCUUUGAAGCUGGAACGCUAGUUCCAGUGGAGCCGUCCUUGAAAUACCACCCUGGUAAUGUUGAGGUUCUAACUCUGUCCCGUGAUCCGGGACGAGGACCGUGUCUGGUGGGUAGUUUGACUGGGGCGGUCUCCUCCUAAAGAGUAACGGAGGAGUACGAAGGUGCGCUCAGCGUGGUCGGAAAUCACGCGUAGAGUAUAAAGGCAAAAGCGCGCUUAACUGCGAGACCCACAAGUCGAGCAGGUACGAAAGUAGGUCUUAGUGAUCCGGUGGUUCUGUAUGGAAGGGCCAUCGCUCAACGGAUAAAAGGUACUCUGGGGAUAACAGGCUGAUACCGCCCAAGAGUUCAUAUCGACGGCGGUGUUUGGCACCUCGAUGUCGGCUCAUCUCAUCCUGGGGCUGAAGCAGGUCCCAAGGGUAUGGCUGUUCGCCAUUUAAAGAGGUACGCGAGCUGGGUUUAGAACGUCGUGAGACAGUUCGGUCCCUAUCUACCGUGGGCGCUGGAAAUUUGAGAGGAUCUGCUCCUAGUACGAGAGGACCAGAGUGGACGAACCUCUGGUGUACCGGUUGUGACGCCAGUCGCAUCGCCGGGUAGCUAUGUUCGGAAGGGAUAACCGCUGAAAGCAUCUAAGCGGGAAGCCUACCUCAAGAUAAGAUUUCCCUAGGACUUUAUGUCCUCUAAAGAGCCGUUCGAGACUAGGACGUUGAUAGGUUGGAUGUGGAAGCAUAGUGAUAUGUGAAGCUGACCAAUACUAAUUGCUCGUGAGGCUUGACUAU
rnacentral:rRNA from 1 species